rnacentral:rRNA from 1 species
GGGCCAGACUCCUACGGGAGGCAGCAGUGGGGGAUAUUGCACAAUGGGGGGAAUCCUGAUGCAGCGACGCCGCGUGGGUGAAGGAGCGCCUCGGUGCGUAAAGCCCUAUCGGCAGGGAAGAAACAGACGGUACCUGACUAAGAAGCCCCGGCUAACUACGUGCCAGCAGCCGCGGUAAUACGUAGGGGGCAAGCGUUAUCCGGAUUCACUGGGUGUAAAGGGAGCGUAGACGGCGACGCAAGUCUGGAGUGAAAGCCCGGGGCCCAACCCCGGGACUGCUCUGGAAACUGCGGCGCUGGGGUACGGGAGGGGCAGGCGGAAUUCCUGGUGUAGCGGUGAAAUGCGUAGAUAUCAGGAGGAACACCGGCGGCGAAGGCGGCCUGCUGGACCGUGACUGACGUUGAGGCUCGAGAGCGUGGGGAGCAAACAGGAUUAGAUACCCGCGUA